CCAUGGUUGUCACGGGUGACGGGGAAUCAGGGUUCGAUUCCGGAGAGGGAGCCUGAGAAACGGCUACCACAUCCAAGGAAGGCAGCAGGCGCGCAAAUUACCCACUCCCGGCACGGGGAGGCAGUGACGAAAAAUAACGAUACGGGACUCAUAUGAGGCUCCGUAAUCGGAAUGAGUACACUUUAAAUCCUUUAACGAGGAUCCACUGGAGGGCAAGUCUGGUGCCAGCAGCCGCGGUAAUUCCAGCUCCAGUAGUCUAUGCCAAAGUUGUUGCGGUUAAAAAGCUCGUAGUUGGAUCUCGGUUCGAGACGGUUGGACCGCCUUUCGGGCGGUUUUCCUGACCGCUGCGAACAGAAUGAACUGGCACGUCCGGCGGUGUUCUUCAUCGAGUGUCGUCGGGUGGCCGGUGCGUUUACUUUGAAAAAAUUAGAGUGCUCAAAGCAGGCGGAGAUGCCAGAAUAAUAGUGCAUGGAAUAAUGAAAUAGGAUCUCGGUUCUAUUUUGUUGGUUCUCGGAACGCGAGAUAAUGAUUAAUAGGAACAGACGGGGGCAUUCGUAUUGCGACGUUAGAGGUGAAAUUCUUGGAUCGUCGCAAG
rnacentral:rRNA from 1 species